rnacentral:rRNA from 1 species
UACAGAGGUGGCAAGCGUUGUUCGGAAUUACUGGGCGUAAAGGGCGCGUAGGCGGCCUUGUAAGUCUCGUGUGAAAGCCCUCGGCUUAACUGAGGAUCUGCACGGGAUACUGCGAGGCUUGAGUUCGGGAGAGGAAAGCGGAAUUCCGGGUGUAGCGGUGAAAUGCGUAGAUAUCCGGAGGAACACCAGUGGCGAAGGCGGCUUUCUGGACCGACACUGACGCUGAGGCGCGAAAGCUAGGGGAGCAAACGGGAUUAGAUACCCCGGUAGUCCUAGCUGUAAACGAUGAUCGCUGGGUGUGGGGGGUUUUUACUCCCCCCGUGCCGAAGCUAACGCAUUAAGCGAUCCGCCUGGGGAGUACGGUCGCAAGGCUGAA